UCAGUAACACGUAGUCAACAUGCCCAGGGGACGUGGAUAACCUCGGGAAACUGAGGAUAAACCGCGAUAGGUCACUACUUCUGGAAUGGGUAAUGACCCAAACCUAUAUGGCCCCUGGAUUGGACUGCGGCCGAUCAGGCUGUUGGUGAGGUAAUGGCCCACCAAACCUGUAACCGGUACGGGCUCUGAGAGGAGGAGCCCGGAGAUGGGCACUGAGACAAGGGCCCAGGCCCUAUGGGGCGCAGCAGGCGCGAAACCUCUGCAAUAGGCGAAAGCUUGACAGGGUUACNUCUGAGUGAUUUCCCGUUAAGGAGAUCUUUUGGCACCUCUAAAAAUGGUGCAGAAUAAGGGGUGGGCAAG
rnacentral:rRNA from 1 species